rnacentral:rRNA from 1 species
UACGUAGGUGGCAAGCGUUGUCCGGAAUUAUUGGGCGUAAAGCGCGCGCAGGCGGUCCUUUAAGUCUGAUGUGAAAGCCCACGGCUCAACCGUGGAGGGUCAUUGGAAACUGGGGGACUUGAGUACAGAAGAGGAUAGUGGAAUUCCAGGUGUAGCGGUGAAAUGCGUAGAGAUUUGGAGGAACACCAGUGGCGAAGGCGACUAUUUGGUCUGUAACUGACACUGAGGCGCGAAAGCGUGGGGAGCAAACAGG